GUGCACAAUUGCUGUCCAGUGUACACCAGAUACAUGCGACCGUGCUACACAAUAUGAGGCACCAGGUGAUGCUGACAGCAAGAACAAUAUGCCUGACACAACUGAUGAUGGAAAUGACACUGAUGAAGAUUACAAUCCACAUUCAAGUCAGAUCAAGUUCGAAGAAUCUCAAUCCCAGCCAGAGUCCCUGAACAACCAUAUGGAAGAAACAAAGUUCCUGGUGUUUGAAUC